rnacentral:rRNA from 1 species
AACGAACGCUGGCGGGAUGCCUAACACAUGCAAGUCGAACGAGACCUUCGGGUCUAGUGGCGCACGGGUGCGUAACGCGUGGGAACCUGCCCUUAGGUUCGGAAUAACUCCCCGAAAGGGGUGCUAAUACCGGAUAAUGUUUUCGGACCAAAGAUUUAUCGCCUUUGGAUGGGCCCGCGUUGGAUUAGCUAGUUGGUAGGGUAAAAGCCUACCAAGGCGACGAUCCAUAGCUGGUCUGAGAGGAUGAUCAGCCACACUGGGACUGAGACACGGCCCAGACUCCUACGGGAGGCAGCAGUGGGGAAUAUUGGACAAUGGGCGAAAGCCUGAUCCAGCAAUGCCGCGUGAGUGAUGAAGGCCUUAGGGUUGUAAAGCUCUUUUACCCGGGAUGAUAAUGACAGUACCGGGAGAAUAAGCUCCGGCUAACUCCGUG